rnacentral:rRNA from 1 species
CCUACGGGAGGCAGCAGUAGGGAAUCUUCCGCAAUGGACGAAAGUCUGACGGAGCAACGCCGCGUGAACGAUGAAGGCCUUCGGGUCGUAAAGUUCUGUUGUUAGGGAAGAACAAGUGCUAGUUGAAUAAGCUGGCACCUUGACGGUACCUAACCAGAAAGCCACGGCUAACUACGUGCCAGCAGCCGCGGUAAUACGUAGGUGGCAAGCGUUGUCCGGAAUUAUUGGGCGUAAAGCGCGCGCAGGCGGUUUCUUAAGUCUGAUGUGAAAGCCCCGGCUCAACCGGGGAGGGUCAUUGGAAACUGGGAAACUUGAGUGCAGAAGAGGAAAGUGGAAUUCCAAGUGUAGCGGUGAAAUGCGUAGAGAUUUGGAGGAACACCAGUGGCGAAGGCGAACUUUCUGGUCUGUAAACUGACGCUGAGGCGCGAAAAGCGUGGGGAGCAAACAGGAUUAAGAUACCCUGGUAGACCCACGCUGUAAAACGAUGAAGUGCCUAAAGUGUUAAGAGGGUUUCCGCCUUUAGUGCUGAAAGUUACGCAUUAAGCACUCGCUGGGAGUACGUCGCAAGACNGAAGUAAAGAAGUAGACGCGNGAGAGNGCGAGACGACAGAGGAGAG